rnacentral:rRNA from 1 species
GACGAACGCUGGCGGCGUGCUUAACACAUGCAAGUCGAGCGGUAAGGCCCUUCGGGUACGACGAGCGGCGAACGGGUGAGUAACACGUGGGUGACCUGCCUCUAGCUCUGGGAUAAGCCUGGGAAACUGGGUCUAAUACCGGAUAUGACUCCACGGCGCAUGUUGUGGGGGUGGAAAGCCUUGUGUGGCUAGAGAUGGGCCCGCGGCCUAUCAGCUUGUUGGUGGGGUGAUGGCCUACCAAGGCGACGACGGGUAGCCGGCCUGAGAGGGCGACCGGCCACACUGGGACUGAGACACGGCCCAGGACUCCUACGGGAGGCAGCAGUGGGGAAUCUUGCGCAAUGGGCGAAAGCCUGACGCAGCGACGCCGCGUGAGGGAUGACGGCCUGGUUGUAAC